UAGGGAAUAUUAGAAAUGGACGAAAGUCUGAUCUAGCAACACCGCGUGUGCGAUGAAGGCCUUCGGGUUGUAAAGCACUUUUGGAAGGAUUAGGAAGGAAUGUACUUCCAGAAUAAGUCUCGGCUAACUACGUGCCAGCAGCCGCGGUAACACGUAGGAGGCGAACGUUAUCCGGAUUUACUGGGCGUAAAGCGCGUGUAGGUGGUUCUGUAAGUAGGGCGUGAAAGCUCCUGGCUCAACUGGGAGAGGCCGUUCUAAACUGCAGAGAUAGAGGAUGGUAGAGGGAGGUGGAAUUCCGGGUGUAGCGGUGGAAUGCGCAGAUAUCCGGAGGAACACCAGUGGCGAAGGCGGCCUCCUGGACCAUUCCUGACACUCAGACGCGAAAGCUAGGGUAGCAAACG
rnacentral:rRNA from 1 species